rnacentral:rRNA from 1 species
UACAGAGGUCCCAAGCGUUGUUCGGAUUCAUUGGGCGUAAAGGGUGCGUAGGCGGCGCGGUAAGUCGGGUGUGAAAUCUCGGAGCUUAACUCCGAAACUGCAUUCGAUACUGCCGUGCUUGAGGACUGGAGAGGAGACUGGAAUUUACGGUGUAGCGGUGAAAUGCGUAGAUAUCAGGAAGAACACCCGUGGCGAAGGCGGUUCUCUGGGACGGAACUGACGCUGAGGAGCGAAAGCGUGGGUAGCAAACAGG